rnacentral:rRNA from 1 species
GACGAACGCUGGCGGCGUGCUUAACACAUGCAAGUCGAACGGAAAGGCCCUGCUUUUGUGGGGUGCUCGAGUGGCGAACGGGUGAGUAACCCGUGAGUAACCUGCCCUUGACUUUGGGAUAACUUCAGGAAACUGGGGCUAAUACCGGAUAGGAGCUCCUGCGGCAUGGUGGGGGUUGGAAAGUUUCGGCGGUUGGGGAUGGACUCGCGUGUUAUCAGCUUGUUGGUGGGGUAGUGGCUUACCAAGGCUUUGACGGGUAGCCGGCCUGAGAGGGUGACCGGCCACAUUGGGACUGAGAUACGGCCCAGACUCCUACGGGAGGCAGCAGUGGGGAAUAUUGCACAAUGGGCGGAAGCCUGAUGCAGCAACGCCGCGUGCGGGAUGACGGCCUUCGGGUUGUAAACCGCUUUCGCCUGUGACGAAGCGUGAGUGACGGUAAUGGGUAAAGAAGCACCGGCUAACUACGUG